CCUACGGGUGGCAGCAGUGAGGAAUAUUGGUCAAUGGGCGCGAGCCUGAACCAGCCAAGUAGCGUGAAGGAUGACUGCCCUACGGGUUGUAAACUUCUUUUAUAAAGGACUAAGUGAGGCACGUGUGACUUUUUGUAUGUACUUUAUGAAUUAGGAUCGGCUAACUUAGUGCCAGCAGCCGAGGUAAUACGGAGGAUCCGAGCGUUAUCCGGAUUUAUUGGGUUUAAAGGGAGCGUAGAUGGGUUGUUAAGUCAGUUGUGAAAGUUUGCGGCGCAACCGUUACAUUGCAAUUGAUACUGGCAGGCUUGAGUACAGUUGAGGUAGGCGGAAUGCGUGGUGUAGCGGUGAAAUGCUUAGAUAUCACGAAGAACUCCGAUUGCGAAGGCAGCUUACUAAACUGCCACUGACAUUGAUGCUCGAAAGUGUGGGUAUCAAACAGGAUUAGAUACCCUUGUAGUC
rnacentral:rRNA from 1 species